GGGUAUAAAUCCUUUGGAAUAGGGUAUCAUAGAGGGUGAGAAUCCCGUCUUUGACUCAGUGCAUGCUACUAUGUGAUACGUUUUCAAAGAGUCGAGUUGUUUGGGAAUGCAGCUCAAAAUGGGUGGUAAACUUCAUCUAAAGCUAAAUAUUGGCGAGAGACCGAUAGCGAACAAGUACCGUGAGGGAAAGAUGAAAAGAACUUUGAAAAGAGAGUUAAACAGUGCGUGAAAUUGUUGAAAGGGAAACGUUUGACACCAGUCAUGCGGGUGGAAAAUCAGUCUUUUGCAGUGUUUUUUUUGUGGGCGUUCUGACCGUAAGGCUGGCGCUUGCUCUAUCUUUGCUGUAAGUGAUGCACUUUUUCAUUUGCAGGUCAACAUCAGUUUGCUUUGCUGGACAAAACCCCAAGAGAAGGUGGCAGCUUAGGCUGUGUUAUAGCUCUGGGGCGAUACAGUGAAGUGGACUGAGGUUUUCGCAGCGUGUGCUCUCGGGCAAGGCUGAUUGGGUGCUAUGGGAUCGUUCGGCGUACAAUGCAUGCAUUUUGCGUCGUGU
rnacentral:rRNA from 1 species